GCCAAGAUGCGUGACAACGCGGCCACGGACAACAGCCGAUCGACUGUCAGGAAACAACAAUGUUAACGAUCCAAUAGCUGUCUCUGCUCGAUCGUGUCAAACUAAAGUGAUUACUUUUUUCCACUGUGCUUCGUGGCACGCUAACAACAAAGCAACUGUUAUCUCUAAUCUAAUUUCAAUCUACCACAGUAUUACUUUUAGAAGUUCGUACUUUGUCUUGCAGUGUUUAUUAAUUUAGAAUUUUUCUAACGAAAAUGUACUGUCAUUUGCAAAAUGUUCAUAUCUUUUGAACGUAGAAUUAAUAAGUUAAUAUUUAUGAAGGAAAAAAUUAUUAUUACUAAUCGAGAAUUCAUGAAAUCUACAAAGAUCGAAGUUCUUGGUUGUUUUAGGUGGCAGUACUUCUUCGUUUAAAUAUAUUGGUACUUCGUGCGUGUACAUUGUACAUGUCUUGGAAAUAUAAAGUCGAAAAUUCAGUCAACACGACCUCAGUCUCGUCAACGCUGCUUUUCAGUGCUAAAGAGGUGAGUAAUUUAUUUGGUCGAAGAGUAUUAAUUAAUUUCUUGUGAAUAUUCAUCAUUUGGAUUUAACCUGUGCUUGAGAAUUUACAAACUUUUUAUCGAGUGAUCAGUGUUGCUCUUUUUUCUCUCGUAUGUCAAAAAUUCUCACGAAAGAUCUCAAGAUAAAACUUUCAUUUUUUCGCGUCAAACCUGAGCAAACCAUUGAGAUGAGACACAUCACUCCUUAUGGAUGCCUCGUUGGCACUGAAGAAGCAUCGGUCGAAAUGCUAUGAAUACAUAUAUACAUACACAUAUACACGAAUAACACAAAGUCAGAAGCUCAACUUAAAAGGCACGAAAGACAACGUAGGAAUAAUAAGGUAACCAAACCAUGCAACGAGAAAGAGAUUCGAACAUUGAUGAGAAGGAGACGAAUGGGGUUUAGUGGUUGUGAGCUUUCAUAUAUCUCUUUAUUUUUUUUGAAAUCAGUCGUACGCAGCGUCACAAUGUUCGAGGAAGAUUCUUCUUCAGUUUUGUCGACAAUUUUCAUGACCUUUGCAAAUGUCGACAAGUCGUGAAUAGACUCGUCCUCGAAACUGAAUUGAACGCGCGCGUAGCAACUUCGUUUUUCGGAUGCAGGAAUUGUUAUAUUAUGUGUUACACAUGAUAAUAAUGCAAAACGUCGUCAAACAGCAUCAACAGCUAUUCAACCGCUUAUACUCUACAAAACGAACUCGCAACCGUGAUUCCAGAACAUACUGACCGGGCAGCACGGAUAAAACAGAGCCGAGUUAAAAUGAUGUGAUUAAAGGCGAAACUAGACGGAGAGUUAGAGAAGAAGAAGAAGAAAUAGAAGAUGGAGAAGAGAAUAGAAAUUAGAGAGAAGGAAGGAAAUAUAUGAGUAAAUAAUUUGGUUAAUCCUACUGAGUUUUUUAGAUUAUUUUUAACCCAAAUCUAUGUUUCUAAAGUUUAAAUAUACAUCAAAAAAGUAAAUUUUAUUAUUCGACAAAAUUUCGCGUAUUAAAGCAUUUUCGUUUCUUGAGAUGAAAAUAAAGAUUGAAAUAUAAGAAUUAGAAGGACAGUAGUAUAGGAAUAAGAGGAACGCAGCGGGGUUAAUCUAGGAUAAUAGAAGAAAGACGGUGGCUUUCCGUUUCAAUUUUAUGUCAAAUAUCUUCGAACAAACAAGAAAGUUUUUUUGUUCAAUAAAAUAAAAAUUCGAGGAUCUUAGUAAGGGUAAGUCAGGGUAAUAGGGGAUGAAAUAGAGAUCUUGUAUAUAGAGAAACCACGUGAAAAGAGUUCUCGAAAUGUCCCGAAAUAUUUCGAAAUAUCUUCGAAAGAAAGUUAGGCAGAAGCCUUUAGGAAUCAGUUUCAGAAAUGCGGCUGGGAAAACACGGUUCUAAAUAUAAUGUCUCAUAAAAGUAUUCGAACGCUUGUAGAUACCUUUUAUGAAUACGUUAUGUGUGUUAUACGAAACAUAAAGAACAUUCACUAAUUUCUUUGUCUUAAUUCUAUGUAAUAUUUUUAAGCGUUAGGUAACAAUUAUAAUUUUACUAUAUAUAAUAAAUGUCCGUCAAUUCUGUCUGUGUUAAACUAUCAAAAUGUUUUACAUAACACACACAAUACACACAUAAGAAGAUUUCCAUGGUAAAUAUUCAAAUACUGUCAUGAACUACUAUAGAUUUUUAAUUACUCUUUUAAUAAAUGAUCAUAGGCAUAAAGCUCGAGGCUCGUAGAUGGUGUCACACAUUCACGCAAGCUCCACUCGGACGGACACGUGAAAUAGAAAGAAAGAAAGAAAGAAAGAACAGUGUAUAUGGAGAAGACCGUCGAUCGUUCGUUGUAUCAUCGAUCGAUUUCAUAUUGAAUGAUUAAGAGAGCAGCGAAUAUAGUCGAAGAAGAAAGUAUAGAAUGAGAGUGUAGAGUGAAGAGAACUGGGGGUUCAGUGCAGGGCACACGCUCGCGCACACGUACGUACAAACAUAUGUAUAAAACUUUUGGGAUGUGAUUUCACACGGGUCACAACAACGCAGAGAAUAUAUCAUAUCUAUGUAUACGUCUUCGUGUUUUUGUAUAACGAAAAAAUAUAUAUAUAGAUAGAUAAAGAUAGGUAGAAGAGGAUGCAUGUGUCUUGUCAUAGAUCGAGACAGCUAAAGCUUACUUUUUAUAAUUAACACAUUCACUGCUUUAUACUGAACGUGAGAUACCUUUCUUGUUAGGAAUAUUUUUAUUUUAAAUAAUAAUUAAUAUCUAUUUAACACACAUUUGUUUUCUGAAUAUUUUAUCAAAACAUACAGAAUAAACGUAUAAAACACGAAGAAUGAUACGAAGGUCACAGGGGGAAAAAUAUGAUAAGUAUAUUUUUAUUGAUUUCCUGCUUUUAACUUCGCUUUAUGAUCAAACGGAAGAAUUUUUAUAUGACAUAAUUGAAAAUGAGAACAACCUGUCAGAUCCAGAGAUGCAAGUCUUUUAAAAAUAACUAACGGCUUGAAGAAGGUAAUGGACAAGCAAUACUUUAAUCUCUUCAAUAUUGAAAUACAAUGACGAGCAUUAUUUUGAAAAUCUGUAAGAGGAUGAGAAAACACUUGUUCAACUCCAUAACCAAAUAUAUAUAGACAAUUUUGGUAACAUAGGAUUUAUUAACAACGUACUGAAUCGUAAAGAUUCUGUGUAAAAAGUAGGAAAUGUGACUUAUUACGUUUUUCCCCCGUAGUCUUCGUAUUAUUGUCAGAUAAUCGAAACGACGCAGCAUGUGCGUCAGUAGCAGUAGAGGAUAUUAAUCAGUCAUCUGAAUCUCCUUAAAUGCUCGAUAAACUCUAGCCGUCUCGCAAGACACGCGUUCUUCUCAGACGUAUACGUCAUUAGUAAAAGACAUUACGUAUCAUAUAUAUAUAAUAUGUCGUGGCUACCGAGUUUCACUGUAUUUGUUCCAAGUGUCUAAUCGAACACAAAAGAAAAAAGAAAGGAAUUGCACGUAACAUCAAAGUUGGGACGGACCAACGGGACGGACACGUUCAAGUAUUAUAAUUAAUUUAGAAUGAUUCUCUAAAGUAACGAGACGCGUUGGACGAAGGAGAAUCGUAAUACGUGAUCGUGCUGAACAAACUCACCUCUCGUUGAAGGUUUCUUGACGCGCGUAAUUUUGAAGACUGCCUUCGUCGAU